GUGACCUCAAAUCAGGUAGGACUACCCGCUGAACUUAAGCAUAUCAAUAAGCGGAGGAAAAGAAACUAACAAGGAUCCCCUAGUAACUGCGAGUGAAGCGGGAAAGCUCAAUUUAAAUCUGGCGUCUUUGACUGUCCGAGUGUAUCUAGAGAAGUGUUAUCCGCGCUGACCGUGUACAAGUCUCCUGG
rnacentral:rRNA from 1 species